GACGGAGGAUGCAAGCGUUAUCCGGAAUGAUUGGGCGUAAAGCGUCCGCAGGUGGCAGUUCAAGUCUGCUGUCAAAGACCGGGGCUUAACUUCGGAAAGGCAGUGGAAACUGAACAGCUAGAGUAUGGUAGGGGCAGAGGGAAUUCCUGGUGUAGCGGUGAAAUGCGCAGAUAUCAGGAGGAACACCGGUGGCGAAGGCGGUUCUCUGGGCCUUACCUGACGCUGAGGAGCGAAAGCAUGGGGAGCAAACAGG
rnacentral:rRNA from 1 species